CGUGUGGUGUCCGGCAAAGACCCGGAUAGCGACACGGCCCGAUUUUGAGGU
rfam:Vibrio mangrovi strain CECT 7927 genome assembly, contig: 0013